AAUGUGGUUAAUGAUGCUGAACUUUUUUCCCCAUCAUAUCGAUCAUGGUGAUUACUGACUGAAACUAAGCCAGUUUUGUCUGAAACCACAUU
rnacentral:snoRNA from 1 species